rnacentral:lncRNA from 1 species
AGGUUUUAUAACUAGGCACCACAAAUUUUCAAUAUUUUUCCUUUUCAUCAAUCUACAUAACCAAAGAAUAAAAAAGAAAUUAAAACAAAAAGAGAGAGUCGGCCAAACAUCAUAUUGCAAGCAAUACAACAAAAUGAAAACUAGAUUCAUGGUCAUCACCAUCUUCAAACCCUCAAUCUUUGGAGAAAACUCAUACAAAACAUCAUAGUCCCCCCAUCUAAAGUUUCAUAGUCCGCCGAACCUCAGAUCUCACAAGCUUGCAUCAUCUUAUCUCUCCUUCUCUUUGGUGGAAGUUGUGAAGCGGUGGUGCGGCGGUUGCCAAAAGUGGUGCAGCACUGGGCGGAGGUGAGACGGUGUUAGGGCGAUAAUCUAGCAGCAAGGAGGUUUCGUUUUACUUUCUUCAUAUCUAGGUUUAGUUUUUCAAAUCUGAGUUUACUUUUAGAUCUAAGUUUACUUUCUUCAUGGGUUUUUGAAUUUUGUAGUCUUAGGACUAAAGUUAUUUAUGAUUUGAGAUGUAAUACGAAAACCUGAAAAUAAUUUGGUGAACGUGGGUGUAUUCCACCUUUGGUUGGGAUGCUAGAUGAUAAGGUUGUGGAGGAGAAAGAAGCAGAUGUCAAGACGUUAUCUAUGAUUAUGGAUUAUCUGAGAAUUGAAUGAUUUUUAGAAAGGAAGAGAGAGGAAUAGUGAGUUAUUAAUUUAUUUUUCUUGUAUUUUGGUUAGUAAUAAUUUAUUUUCUUAUAUUUAAUUUCUCAUUUAAUUCUUCUUCUCUCUCUUUAAUUUGUAUUUUUUUAUCAUUUAUUCUUAUUCUUUUUUUUUUUGUAUUUUUAUGUUUUUAUACGGAAAAAAUGUAUAAAAUAUGAAACGUUAUUAUUAUUUUAUCACAAAUAUACUGUCAACCCAUAUUUUACUACGAUCAACACAUAUUUUUGACAUCAUGAAACCUGACACAAUAUUUAUUUCGGUCAAUUUCCGCCGGAAAUUCAAUUUGGGAUGAAUAUUAUAUGCAAAUUUUAUGCAGUGAUUUGUAAGUCUAAUUACUUUUAAGAACCAAAUUAGGAGAAGGGUGAAACUUGGUGUAAGAGAAUAUAUAUAUAUAUAUAUAUAUAUAGCAAAGUUCAAAAACAUAAGACUUAAACAACAUAAGUUCUUAAAGAGUAUAACUAUUUAAACCUUUCCUGUUUUUUCUAAAAACCCAAAACCUUCCGUGUUUUUUUAGAAAAUCCAAAAUUGUGCCCUAUCUUCUCUCUUCUCUCAUAACUUCUCUAUUCUCAACAAAUCGAAAUCGCGUCUACACUGAGAAGGAAAAAGCAGAGCCAUCUUGUUUAAAUCGAAAUUGUGCCCUAGCUGCUCUCUUCUCUCCAAAUCGACCGCUUCACUCCAAAUCCUUGCUAGGUAAACCCAAAUCUCGUUGUGGAUGUGUUCAUGUAUGUGUAUAUAUGUAAUAGAUUCUUUUUCUUUUUCCUUCUAAUUUUUCUGUGAUGCCCUAUUGAGUAUAUGUUUGAAAGAUAUCCAAAAAGAGAUCCCCUGCCAUUGUUGUUCUUCACCCCUCUCGCUCUCUUCUUUCUAUCUCUCUUAAAAAACAGAAAUAUUACCAAACCCAGAGAGUUUAGAGGCUUAAAACGAGAGAAAAGAUCUUUAUUCAAUAUAUACUACUACUACUACUUAGUUAGUGCGGAGCUGUGAUCGUGUGGAUAAUAUAUAUAUAGAGGAGUCCAUAUAUUGCGGACUUCCAACUACCUCAAACUAGCCAAUUUGGUCAAUGAGUAUGAAUGGCUUAUCAACACAAUUAUAUAAAAUAUAUUUAUUAAUUGGAAAUUGAUGUAUUUGUUAAUUGGAAAAUUAAUGUAUUUUAUGACAAAAAUAUUACUCAUGGACUCAUUAAUAGAUUAUUCAUAUAUGUGUAUUUUUUUAUAUUUAAAUUAUAAACAUGUAAAAUUAGUUUAUCAUAUAAAUAAUAAUUAUAUAAUAUGUUACUAUAAUUUAAAUUUUUCGAAUUUACUUACAAUUAGAUAGAUAAUGUAAGAUGCUAGUUAUACAUAUCAUUAUAUGUGGAUGUGUUCAUGUAUGUGUAUCAUAUAAAUAAUAAUUAUAUAAUAUGUUACUAUAAUUUAAAAUUUUCGAAUUUACUUACAAUUAGAUAGAUAAUGUAAGAUGCUAGUUAUACAUAUCAUUAUAUGUGGAUGUGUUCAUGUAUGUGUAUGUAAUAGAUUUUUUUUCUUUUUCUUUCAAAUUUUUCUGUGAUGCCCUGUUAAGUAUAUGUUUGGAAGAUUAUAAAACUUGAAUAGUCUCUGGCUCUUCCUGAAUAGUCCAAAAGUUUUAGUUUCCAUCUUUGAUUUAGUUUUGAAUUACAUUAUGAUUUAUUUGAACAUUGAAUGUAUGUGGAAUAUUGGACCAGUACUACUAAAAUGGGAAAUGUCAGUGGAGUUAUGAAGAAAAUUUUCUUAAAGGGACCAUGGUUAUGGUAGUGGGUUUUGUACCUACAUCUAUAUAUUUGCACCAAGUGAUUAUCAUGAUGAUGGAGGUAUUCGUGUUCAUGCUUCUGAAUAUCUAAAGCAGUUCCCCUCUCUUAUUUUAUCUGUCAUUGCUAAUUAAGUUCAUAUCAUUUGUUUGUGGUGGAUUUGCUGCUAUUUUGAUCAUCAUAGCAUUUCUGGAGGAGUCCCUACUGGAAGGCCAUGUAAUGUAUUUCCUUUAAAAUGUCUUUGUUAGUUCCCGGAGGCACAAUAGUUAUCUAGAAAUGGGGGGAGGGUUGAAUAGAUAUUUAAAAAUCUUUUCGUUUUAACUUGUUAAUUGAUAAUGAUUAAAACUUAGCGGAAUUAAUAUUUGUUUUAAUCUCCCUUAAGAUGGUGAGUUUACGAGAGUGAGGCAGUUAUAGCAGUUAUGGCAGAUAUGACAGUUAUAGCAAAAAUGUAAUAGACACGGUCGUUUUAAGUGGUUCAGAGCACUUAAAGCUCCUAGUCCACUCUUCUACUCCUUGAGUAGGAAAUCCACUAAGGAUGUCUUUUACACUUUCUGAAUCACACAGAUUCCUUCUAGACCAACAGUCUAGGAACUUCUUAGUUCAUUUUUGAACUCUUCAAGUCCAGCAGACUUGGCUCUUCACAGUUCACUUAGAACUCUUCAAGUCCUUCUGACUUGGAACUCUUACUUCAGUUGAUUGGUAGUUGUUGAGUUCUUGAACCGCUACUCAGUUGCUGUUAAGCACUUGUUCGAAAGAACUAAGUAGCUGAGCAAGCUUUUCUUUUUUUCAGAUCGUAGAGUUGAGCGUUGAGAGUUCUUGUACGUUUUGUUCAAUGCUUGCUUGCCUCUUUCAUCCGCAUAUCUUUUGCAUAUAUGUGAUCUUGAAAUCUUUCCGUUUGAUCCAUCCAUUGAAGCAUUAAAUGCGUUUGACAUUUCUGUACUUUGAUAGAGACUUUUCUACACAUCUUCUGAAUUGCAUUCUGGCCCACUGACACAGCAGACUGCUUUCUCACCUAACACCUGAAAAGGUGUUUUUCUCUUACCAAUGGUACUUUCCUUAGCUUCUUCAAUACGCUUCUUUGUUGCAUACUAAGGAUGUCUUUUGUACCGUUGGAACUGGUGGGGACUUCAACGUUUGAAACCCAUUCUAUAUUUGUUGGAGAUAUAUCUUCAAACAAAAAGGUAGGGCUCGAUACUUCUGACACACGGCUGAUGAUACUCUACGAUCCAGAUCGUGGUGUCUUGUUAUUUUGGUGCUUGGUCUGAUUCCAUCAAACAAGAGCACUACGAUUUUUCUUAAUGACUUACACACUACGAUCUUCACUUGCUAACUUUGUAAGCUCUACGUUUCCGAGAGCACACUACGAUCUCUGAGUUGGCUCGGUAAACGUUGGUACCACUCUACGACUUCAAAAGAGGCCCUUAAGGCAGGCACACUACGAUCCUCGAAGCUCUACGUUCUGCCUUGGCUUCUGUAAUCUUGAUCAGCUUGAUACACUACGAUCUCUUCGAAGCCUAUCUAUUACAUCUCAAGAUCAACCUAACAGCUUUGAUCUCUUUAUUUAUACAUUUAUUUACAGAAUGAUACACAUUAAGAACUUAGAUCAACCUAACAAAUUUGAUCUAUCACUAAGUCCUUGUACAUAUAUUCCUUGAAGGACUUUACAAAUAAUCAUGAGCAUUUAUAUUUAAACAUCAAAUCAAAAUAUGCACUCUCCCAAUAAUCUGUCCCUAUUUGAUGUUGACAUAACCAAGAAGAUUUGUUGUCAUGAUUAUUAGUUUCUAGAUGCAAUUGCAGGAAAGUAAACAUGACUUAGUAUUUCAGUGAGCAGCUGAAAUUUCUAGAGAAUAAGCAUGAAUUUAUUGAUGUUCGAAGAAUUUUACAAUUUAGCUUUACAUCAAUAAGAAUUAAAACUUCACUUAUCUCUAUUUCCUUGAUCUUUUGCGAGGAGGAUUGGCAUACUCCUCAGCUCUUCUUUUCCUGCUUGCUUCAUUCCACCUGGCUAGAUCUUCCAGCUCACUAGGGCUUAGCCUAGGAUUUUGAUCAUGUCUAUUCAUGAAUGCAGGAUCUCCAGUUGGCAUUCGCUAAGGCCUGUGGUGGUGACAUUUUGUGAGUUAGUAGCUGGCCCUAUACUCCUUAUUGGCUGAGCUAUUAAAAUUUCUAGCUGAUCAAGUCGUUGAGUCUGAUGGCUGGAUCGUGGAGUCUGUUGGUGAAAUUUUGCAAAUUGAUGUGGAGGAGAUGAAGAGUUAUCAUGAAAAACACCAAAGUUGAUACAUUGUUCUUCAGAUUUUAUCUAAAAAG